rnacentral:rRNA from 1 species
UACGUAGGGGGCGAGCGUUGUCCGGAAUCAUUGGGCGUAAAGCGCGUGUAGGCGGCCCGGUAAGUCCGCUGUGAAAGUCCAGGGCUCAACCCUGGGAUGCCGGUGGAUACUGUCGGGCUCGAGUCCGGAAGAGGCGAGUGGAAUUCCUGGUGUAGCGGUGAAAUGCGCAGAUAUCAUGAGGAACACCAAUGGCGAAGGCAGCUCGCUGGGACGUGACUGACGCUGAGACGCGAAAGCGUGGGGAGCAAACAGG